rnacentral:rRNA from 1 species
CGCGUAGGCGGUCUUUUAAGUCGGGGGUGAAAGCCUGUGGCUCAACCACAGAAUUGCCUUCGAUACUGGGAGACUUGAGUUCGGUAGAGGUUGGUGGAACUGCGAGUGUAGAGGUGAAAUUCGUAGAUAUUCGCAAGAACACCGGUGGCGAAGGCGGCCAACUGGACCGACACUGACGCUGAGGCGCGAAAGCGUGGGGAGCAAACA